GCCCUUAUGUCUUGGGCUGCACACGUGCUACAAUGGCCGGUACAAUGAGCUGCGAUACCGCGAGGUGGAGCGAAUCUCAAAAAGCCGGUCUCAGUUCGGAUUGGGGUCUGCAACUCGACCCCAUGAAGUCGGAGUCGCUAGUAAUCGCAGAUCAGCAUUGCUGCGGUGAAUACGUUCCCGGGCCUUGUACACACCGCCCGUCACGUCACGAAAGUCGGUAACACCCGAAGCCGGUGGCCCAACCCCUUGUGGGAGGGAGCUGUCGAAGGUGGGACUGGCGAUUGGGACGAAGUCGUAACAAGGUAGCCGUACCGGAAGGUGCGGCUGGAUCACCUCCUUUCU
rnacentral:rRNA from 1 species